rnacentral:rRNA from 1 species
UGGAUCAUGUGUUUAAUUCGAUGAUACGCGAAGAACCUUACCAGGUCUUGACAUCCCCCGCGAUGCUUUAGAGAUAAAGCGGAGGUAUUCGGGGAGACAGGUGGUGCAUGGUUGUCGUCAGCUCGUGUCGUGAGAUGUUGGGUUAAGUCCCGCAACGAGCGCAACCCUAUUGCUAGUUACCAUCAUUAAGUUGGGGACUCUAGCGAGACUGCCAGUGAUAAACUGGAGGAAGUGGGGAUGACGUCAAAUCAUCAUGCCCCUUAUGACCUGGGCUACAAACGUGAUGCAAUGGCUGGAACAAAGGGAUGCGAAGCAGUGAUGUGGAGCGAAACCCAUAAAAACAGUCUCAGUUCGGAUUGAAGUCUGCAACUCGACUUCAUGAAGUCGGAAUCGCUAGUAAUCGCGGAUCAGAACGCCGCGGUGAAUACGUUCUCGGGGUUU